AGCUGUGGGUGCAGUCUGGAUAGAACAUCUGUUACCCCAUUGAUUACCAAAGUUGAAUCAACUGAUCUGUCUGGCUUGGCAAGUGUCCCCGUGCUUCCCCACACCAUCAUGAGUCUCCCUCUCGAAGCUAAACUCUUGAUAAAGCAACCUGCCUGGAUAGAGGAGGACCAUCUUUCGGUCAAGAUUAUAUGAAUAGCUGCUCUCCCCAACUAGAACCCCCCAGACAAGCUCUAGGUAGCCCAUUUUCACUCCACACUCCAUGCCCUUGUGUUGGCAUGGGCAGGAAAGUCCUGAAAACCCCAUUCCUUGCCUCCUAGGUUUUCAAUGCCCCAAAGCCAAAGUGGACUCAGCUGUCUGGGAGGAAGCUUCAGAA
rnacentral:snRNA from 1 species